rnacentral:rRNA from 1 species
AGCAGUAGCCGCGGUAAUACGUAGGGUGCGAGCGUUAAUCGGAAUUACUGGGCGUAAAGCGUGCGCAGGCGGUUUUGUAAGACAGGCGUGAAAUCCCCGGGCUCAACCUGGGAAUGGCGCUUGUGACUGCAAAGCUAGAGUGCGGCAGAGGGGGAUGGAAUUCCGCGUGUAGCAGUGAAAUGCGUAGAUAUGCGGAGGAACACCGAUGGCGAAGGCAAUCCCCUGGGCCUGCACUGACGCUCAUGCACGAAAGCGUGGGGAGCAAACAGGAUUAGAUACCCGUGUAGUCCCUGUCUCUUAUAA